ACGAUGCAUAGCCGACCUGAGAGGGUGAUCGGCCACAUUGGGACUGAGACACGGCCCAAACUCCUACGGGAGGCAGCAGUAGGGAAUCUUCGGCAAUGGACGAAAGUCUGACCGAGCAACGCCGCGUGAGUGAAGAAGGUUUUCGGAUCGUAAAACUCUGUUGUUAGAGAAGAACAAGGAUGAGAGUAACUGUUCAUCCCUUGACGGUAUCUAACCAGAAAGCCACGGCUAACUACGUGCCAGCAGCCGCGGUAAUACGUAGGUGGCAAGCGUUGUCCGGAUUUAUUGGGCGUAAAGCGAGCGCAGGCGGUUUCUUAAGUCUGAUGUGAAAGCCCCCGGCUCAACCGGGGAGGGUCAUUGGAAACUGGGAGACUUGAGUGCAGAAGAGGAGAGUGGAAUUCCAUGUGUAGCGGUGAAAUGCGUAGAUAUAUGGAGGAACACCAGUGGCGAAGGCGGCUCUCUGGUCUGUAACUGACGCUGAGGCUCGAAAGCGUGGGGAGCAAACAGGAUUAGAUACCCUGGUAGUCCACGCCGUAAACGAUGAGUGCUAAGUGUUGGAGGGUUUCCGCCCUUCAGUGCUGCAGCUAACGCAUUAAGCACUCCGCCUGGGGAGUACGACCGCAAGGUUGAAACUCAAAGGAAUUGACGGGGGCCCGCACAAGCGGUGGAGCAUGUGGUUUAAUUCGAAGCAACGCGAAGAACCUUACCAGGUCUUGACAUCCUUUGACCACUCUAGAGAUAGAGCUUCCCCUUCGGGGGCAAAGUGACAGGUGGUGCAUGGUUGUCGUCAGCUCGUGUCGUGAGAUGUUGGGUUAAGUCCCGCAACGAGCGCAACCCUUAUUGUUAGUUGCCAUCAUUCAGUUGGGCACUCUAGCAAGACUGCCGGUGACAAACCGGAGGAAGGUGGGGAUGACGUCAAAUCAUCAUGCCCCUUAUGACCUGGGCUACACACGUGCUACAAUGGGAAGUACAACGAGUCGCGAAGUCGCGAGGCUAAGCUAAUCUCUUAAAGCUUCUCUCAGUUCGGAUUGUAGGCUGCAACUCGCCUACAUGAAGCCGGAAUCGCUAGUAAUCGCGGAUCAGCACGCCGCGGUGAAUACGUUCCCGGGCCUUGUACACACCGCCCGUCACACCACGAGAGUUUGUAACACCCGAAGUCGGUGAGGUAACCUUUUGGAGCCAGCCGCCUAAGGUGGGAUAGAUGAUUGGGGUGAAGUCGUAACAAGGUAGCCGUAUCGGAAGGUGCGGCUGGAUCACCU
rnacentral:rRNA from 1 species